rnacentral:rRNA from 1 species
CUCGGAGUUUGAUCCUGGCUCAGAUUGAACGCUGGCGGAAUGCUUUACACAUGCAAGUCGAACGGUAGAGGGGGCAACCCCUGAGAGUGGCGAACGGGUGAGUAAUAUAUCGGAACGUGCCCAGUCGUGGGGGAUAACGUAGUGAAAUUACGCUAAUACCGCAUACGAUCUAUGGAUGAAAGCGGGGGAUCGCAAGACCUCGCGCGACUUGGAGCGGCCGAUAUCAGAUUGGUAGUUGGUGGGGUAAAGCUCACCAAGCCAACGAUCAGUAGCUGGUCUGAGAGGACGACCAGCCACACUGGAACUGAGACACGGUCCAGACUCCUACGGGA